GUUAUUGUUUACAUAUUUUGGAAACUUUAUGCUCUGGCGAUGAAUGUUGCCAUAUAUAUGUAAAACUGGGUAUUUUAGAUUGAAAUAUAUUGUUUUAAAAGGUUUCAAUACAACAGCAUUAAUUCUCACAAGGUUUGUAAUUUUUAUGAUUGAUGGAUCAAAAAAUUGCGACUUUGUGGGUUGACUAAGUGACAAAAACUGCUUGUCACAAAGUCACCCCAAAAUGUUUUCAAACAUGCAACUUAUUUUUUUUUUCCUUCUCAGUGCACGUAAAGUAGGCUGGAACAUGCCACGAACUUACAAAAGAUGACUGGGUGCCCGGCCAUGUAAAAAUUACACGUAGAAUCACCUUGAAGAAGCAGUGAAUGUUGUUAGAUCAAAAAAAUUUACCCUCAGAGAAGCUUCAGAUAAGUAUGGCAUACACAGAACACACUAUGGAAAAAAAACCAAGGAGAAAGCAACAAAGACUGUCGAAGGUCAAACAGUGUUUAGUGAGGUGGAAGAAUAGUGUUUGGAGUCACAUAUAAUUGCAAUGUCUACAUAUGGUUUCCCAGUGACAUCAUUUGAUCUUAGGUGUGUUGCUAAAGCGUAUCUUGACCGCAGUGGAAAGACUGUAGCUUGUUUCCGCAACAACUUUCCUGACCAUGAUUGGGCAAUAUCAUUAAUGAAGAGGCACGAAAAUGUAAUCUCCCAAUGAACAGCAAAGAAUAUAAGUUAUUCCAGAGCUGCAACGCUGCAACAGAUCAAGACGUUGUGAACAACCUUUUCGACAAUCUUGAAAAAGAGGUCCAGAAUGUUCCUGCUUCAAAUAUCUGGAACUAUGAUGAGACAAAUCUUGUAGAUGAUCCAGGCAACAAGAAAAUUCUCACAAAAAGGGGAACUAAGUAUCUGGAACAAAUAUGUAAUGCAUCAAAGGCCUGCACAUCGAUAAUGGUUUGUGGUAAUGCUGAGGGCUUUGUAGCACCAUUAUAUGUUAACUACAAGGCAGAAAAGUUAUGGUCAACAUGGACAGAAGGUGGACCAGAUGGUGCGUGCUACAACAGGAUGAAAUCUGGUUGGUUUGAUCACCAAUCAUUUGAAGAUUGGUUCAUGUCACUCUUCCUGCCCAUUCUUAAAAAACAAGAUGGUGUGAAGGUCAUCAUCGGUGACAGUUUAAGCUCACACAUAUACCUGGAGGUUUUACGUCUAUGCAAAGAAAACAACAUAAAGUUUGUGGCUCUACCACCUAACUCGACACACUUGCUACAAACAUUAGAUGUGGCAUAUUUUCGUCCUAUGAACAGCCAAUGGCGAAAGGUUCUUGCAGAUUAGAAACAGAGUGCAUAUGAUAGUAAGUGUGCGGCCAUACCUAAGGAUCAGUUCCCAAGACUGCUUAAGAGCCUAAUUGAUGCCAUUGGAAACAGUAGGUCAAAUUUGAAAGCAGGCUUCAAAAAGUCAGGGAUAUAUCCUUUGGAUAGGACUCAAGUCCUUAGGAGAAUGCCAUCUUACAUUUUGGAACGAAUUGGAUCAUGUGACAGGUGUCAUUGGAGAUAGUUUCCUUCAAAAGCUUGAAGACACAAAAUGCAGCAACACAAAAAAGAACAGUACAAAGGUGCAAGAAUUUGAAUGUCCCUCCUGGGAAAAGUAUUGGCUCAAGCGAUAUUGGUGUACGUGAUGUACCUGCCAGCACGUCCACAGCAUGUGAAAAUGUUGAAAGUCAACAUCGCAUAAAUGAAAUGACACGUCCGAGAGCAUUAUCAGUACACA